UACGAAGGGGGCUAGCGUUGUUCGGAUUUACUGGGCGUAAAGCGCACGUAGGCGGAUCGUUAAGUCGGGGGUGAAAUCCUGGAGCUCAACUCCAGAACUGCCUUCGAUACUGGCGAUCUUGAGUCCGGAAGAGGUGAGUGGAACUCCUAGUGUAGAGGUGGAAUUCGUAGAUAUUAGGAAGAACACCAGUGGCGAAGGCGGC
rnacentral:rRNA from 1 species